UACAGAGGGGGCAAGCGUUGUUCGGAAUUACUGGGCGUAAAGGGCGCGUAGGCGGCCGCCUAAGUCAGACGUGAAAUCCCUCGGCUCAACCGGGGAACUGCGUCUGAUACUGGGUGGCUUGAAUCCGGGAGAGGGAUGCGGAAUUCCGGGUGUAGCGGUGGAAUGCGUAGAGAUCCGGAAGAACACCGGUGGCGAAGGCGGCCCGCUGGGCAGGAAGGCUCGCAAGAGCCGGCUGACACUGAGGCGCGACAGCGUGGGGAGCAAACAGG
rnacentral:rRNA from 1 species